GACGAACGCUGGCGGCGUGCUUAACACAUGCAAGUCGAACGGAAAGGCCCUGCUUUUGUGGGGUGCUCGAGUGGCGAACGGGUGAGUAACACGUGAGUAACCUGCCCUUGACUUUGGGAUAACUUCAGGAAACUGGGGCUAAUACCGGAUAGGAGCUCCUGCUGCAUGGUGGGGGUUGGAAAGUUUCGGCGGUUGGGGAUGGACUCGCGCCUUAUCAGCUUGUUGGUGGGGUAGUGGCUUACCACGGCUUUGACGGGUAGCCGGCCUGAGAGGGUGACCGGACACAUUGGGACUGAGAUACGGCCCAGACUCCUACGGGAGGCAGCAGUGGAGAAUAUUGCACAAUGGGCGGAAGCCUGAUGCAGCAACGCCGCGUGCGGGAUGACGGCCUUCGGGUUGUAAACCGCUUUCGCCUGUGACGAAGCGUGAGUGACGGUAAUGGGUAAAGAAGCACCGGCUAACUACGUG
rnacentral:rRNA from 1 species